GAUGAACGCUGGCGGCGUGCCUAAUACAUGCAAGUCGAGCGAACGGACGAGAAGCUUGCUUCUCUGAUGUUAGCGGCGGACGGGUGAGUAACACGUGGAUAACCUACCUAUAAGACUGGGAUAACUUCGGGAAACCGGAGCUAAUACCGGAUAAUAUUUUGAACCGCAUGGUUCAAAAGUGAAAGACGGCCUUGCUGUCACUUAUAGAUGGAUCCGCGCUGCAUUAGCUAGUUGGUAAGGUAACGGCUUACCAAGGCAACGAUGCAUAGCCGACCUGAGAGGGUGAUCGGCCACACUGGAACUGAGACACGGUCCAGACUCCUACGGGAGGCAGCAGUAGGGAAUCUUCCGCAAUGGGCGAAAGCCUGACGGAGCAACGCCGCGUGAGUGGUGAAGGUCUUCGGAUCGUAAAACUCUGUUAUUAGGGAAGAACAUAUGUGUAAGUAACUGUGCACAUCUUGACGGUACCUAAUCAGAAAGCCACGGCUAACUACGUG
rnacentral:rRNA from 1 species